CUCUCUGCUCCUCCUGGAGAGGCAGGGGGAACAGACCCCAAGGGGCUGGGCAGGACGAUUCGAAGACAUGGGCUGGGUCCUGGGGCCUUCCGCGGCUGCACUCCACCCUCCGUCAUCCUCGUCGCCGGCGCGAAAACAGACCCACCUGCUGCAUCCAGUGGUCAAAUAAUGUAACGUGUGCUCGGCCCCAGCAGAAGCCAGUUGCCAUGGGCUGGCUGGCGGGAAUGUUACCCGCAUGGGGCAUUUCAUUCAAUGGUCACGAAUUUUGGCUUCACAGGUGUCGCUUGGUAUUUUGCAACCCGUGUAUUUUUUUUGUGCCCCCUCCUUCAGGUCCUUAGGCGUAUGGGCCCUGGAAAAGCUUACAAGCAUUUGGUCCCUCCUCCUGUGGUGUCCGAUGAAGAAAAAGCGACUGUGUGACCUUCGACCUUCAGUCUUAUCAUCCUUUGAUCCCAACUGGACCUCACGUCUUCUGUCUCCUGACCCCGAAUUCCUUGUCUCCACCUUACGCUCCAACUUCAGUUCUGCUUCCUCUAAAUCACUGGUCUCUAUUCCAAGGUGACCUCUGAUCCUAGGUUAUUUGAACCCUGACUCCACGACCCCUAGCCACUGCCUCCACACUCGAAACUCUAUGGCUUCCAAUCCCAGAUCCAUGACCCCUAAUCUCCAUCCUGAGACUGUGGCCAGCUGCUGCAACAAGUGGGUCUCAUGGCCUCAACUCUUCAAUGACGUUGACCAACCCCUGAUCCUAUCCUAUAUAAUAAAAGCCUAAUAUGCUAAGUG